GCGGUGAGCAGCAAGAGAACUACCAGAACAUUGGUACCUUGACUUCUGAUGUGUGAUGGAGGGAAACGUUUGGAUCUUCUCAGGAGGAUGCAAAUGAAAGCAUGAAGGCUUCAGACAUCACAGAGGCUCAGAAAAAACUCAGAAAAAGACAGAGAAUGAGAGAACAGAAGAAGUUGAAGCAGCAGAAUCUUCUUCUAUGAGAUAUUCUUUUUGAAAUUUAUGCAAAGAGAAUGCAGCUUUGUAAAGGGAGCUGAGCAUAAUCCCAAACACUGAUGAGAAUGCUUGGACAAUGAAGGUGUCCAGUGAUAGUGGAGAUCCCCUUGGAUGUCCGAUUCAUCCACACUGCGACUCACGGCUAGACCCAAGGGACCAAGAGAAAACCCAAAAGGCCAGGAUACAUUCAAAAGACUACCUGAUGCUUAUAGUUCUGUCACUGAACCAAGACUCAAAGAGUCAAGAGAGCUACUCAUGUGACCCUAAUGUACUGGCCUCCGCCUAGUGACUAGAACAGCUCUUUAGGCUCUGUUAUAAUGACUGUAAUGAACAUUCGAGGCACUGCGCAUACGUAGAUAUCUGCAUUUAGAAAAUUACGUUUGUGUAAUUAUUUAAUCUACAAAAAUGAGUUCCAGCUAUACAGAGGAAUAACCCAACAUAAAGUAUCCUGUAAUACAUGUUUUUAAUAAGAACCAUUGACUACUGUUUGAAAGAAAGAGGUCUCUGCUUGUUCAAGAAAUGCUUUUUCAUAUAAGGCUCACUAUGAAUAGUAUUCGCAUAAUCUUUUGGCAGUAGGAUUAGAGUCAUUACCAAGUUAUUUAACUGCUGCCCAGAUGGAGAUCAUUCAUCUAUGAAGCAGCUUACCAAGUAUCUAAGAGGUUGCUGAGAUAAUCCACACUGAUUAUACACCAAUGGUUCCUCACUGCAGUAGAAAAAUGGAUAUAAUGAUAUGCAUAUAAAAAUUUUACAUCUUACAAUUUCCUUCCUGCUCCUUCCUGCAAUAGAUAAAUUUGCUUUUUGUCCAGAUGAACAUUUCAGAAUCUAAUCUUUUAAGCUCUAAAAGAAUAGAAGUCGUUCUUGAACUUAUUAUUGGAUUUGAGCCAGUGGGUAGAGAAAAUUCUGACAAGUUCCCUCCCAGUAGCUUGCAGUACUGUGGGAGCUAAAGUUCUUAAGAUACUUAACUACAAGAAAUUUAACCUCCCAUACAGUUCUUACUUUAAAUUAGUCAAAGCUCACUAUAAUUUCAAUUAGUACUCUUGAAUUCUGCAGACACACUAAAUUCUGGGAAAUAUGAUCAGGAAGUAACUUAGGAUAAUUCGAUGAUGAUAUAACUCAUCAUAUCAUUUAACAUGUACAUUGAUUAGUAAUGUCCAUAGAACCUCAGCAAUUAUUUCACAUCUGUGGCUGUUAUGAUAUAGUGCAGUCUUGGAGAAAUGAAGGUGCAUGGGACUGUCAUAUGUGAAUAACUCAUUAGUAUCAGUCAUUGUAUCUGAUAGUGUAGCUACAAUAUGUUUGUCUGCCUUAGCAGAAUCUAUAAAGUUGAGCAGUUUGUGUUCUUUAUGGAUCCAUUUUGGAAAAUAUCUUUCUGCCUUUCUUCAGGAAGAGAAAUAC
ensembl:lncRNA